GUACAGUUCUGCAGAUCUAGAGUCUAUAUAUAUAUAUAUAUGUGUGUGUGUGUGUGUUGGGAAACAUGGCCAGAAGGAACUAGAGUACACUGGCUGCAAGGUGCAAAAGUAUAUUUGCCAAGGUAUGAAGAUAAAGUGAAAAUUCUGAUAAUGAAACAAAACAUAGAACAUCAUAUGCAUGAAGAUGCAUGCAGGGUGAUCUUGAUA
rnacentral:lncRNA from 1 species